rnacentral:rRNA from 1 species
UACGAAGGGUGCAAGCGUUGUUCGGAUUUAUUGGGCGUAAAGCGCGCGCAGGCGGAUUAUUAAGCCAGAUGUGAAAUCUCGGGGCUCAACCCCGAAACUGCGUCUGGAACUGGUAAUCUAGAAUCUUGGAGGGGGAAGCGGAAUUUCGCAUGUAGGGGUAAAAUCCGUAGAGAUGCGAAGGAACACCAGAGCCGAAGGGGGCUUCCUGGCCAAGUAUUGACGCUGAGGCGCGAAAGCGUGGGAGCAAACAGG